CAGAAAGACCCUAUGAAGCUUUACUGUAACUUGAAAUUGAAAUUGAACUUUAUUUGCGCAGCAUAGGUGGGAAGCGUUGAAAAUAUUUUUGCGGAAAUAUUGGAGCUAUCAGUGAGAUACCACUCUUGUGAUGUUGAAUUUCUAACUUUGAACCAUGAUCUGGUCAAAGAACAGUUUCAGGUGGGCAGUUUGACUGGGGCGGUCGCCUCCCAAAUAGUAACGGAGGCGUACAAAGGUUUCCUCUGAACGGGUAGAAAUCGUAUCUAGAGUAUAAAGGCAAAAGGAAGCUUGACUGUGAGACUUACAAGUCGAGCAGGGACGAAAGUCGGUCUUAGUGAUCUGACGGUACUGAGUGGAAAGGCCGUCACUCAACGGAUAAAAGUUACUCUAGGGAUAACAGGCUGA
rnacentral:rRNA from 1 species